CCUACGGGAGGCAGCAGUGAGGAAUAUUGGUCAAUGGACGAGAGUCUGAACCAGCCAAGUAGCGUGAAGGAUGACUGCCCUAUGGGUUGUAAACUUCUUUUAUAUGGGAAUAAAACGUUCCACGUGUGGGAUUUUGUAUGUACCAUAUGAAUAAGGAUCGGCCAACUCCGUGCCAGCAGCCGCGGUAAUACGGAGGAUCCGAGCGUUAUCCGGAUUUAUUGGGUUUAAAGGGAGCGUAGGUGGAUUGUUAAGUCAGUUGUGAAAGUUUGCGGCUCAACCGUAAAAUUGCAGUUGAAACUGGCAGUCUUGAGUACAGUAGAGGUGGGCGGAAUUCGUGGUGUAGUGGUGAAAUGCUUAGAUAUCACGAAGAACUCCGAUUGCGAAGGCAGUUCACUGGACUGCAACUGACACUGAGGCUCGAAAGUGUGGGUAUCAAACAGGAUUAGAUACCCUAGUAGUC
rnacentral:rRNA from 1 species